CAGGUCAGGACACGGUAAGGAUUGACGGACUGAAGGCUCUUUCUCGAUUCCGUGGAAAGUGGUGCAUGGCCGUUUUGGUUGUGGAUCGAUCCGUCUGGUUAAUUCCGUUAACGAACGAGACCUCGGCACUCCGAAUAGCGCGGCGGACGUCGCGGCCUCCGGGCCGUCUUCCGCACGAGCUUCUUAGAGGGACCGUCCCCCGCCGGGGAAGGAGGUGCGAGGCAACGACAGGUCUGUGAUGCCCUUAGAUGUUCUGGGCCGCACGCGCAUUACACUGACGCGUCCAACGGGUGACUCCCGACCCGAAGGGGCCGGGGAAUCCGCAAGGCGCGUCGUGAUGGGGAUUGAACGUUGCAAUUGUUGUUCACGAACGAGGAAUUCCUAGUAGGCGCGGGUCAUCAACCCGCGCCGAUUACGUCCCUG
rnacentral:rRNA from 1 species